GUAGUUGAUCAGUGGCUCAGGACGACGCUGGCGGCGUGCCUAACACAUGCAAGUCGAACGGAGCACUUCGGUGCUUAGUGGCGAACGGGUGAGUAACGCGUGAGCAACCUACCUUUCAGUGGGGGGACAACAGUUGGAAACGACUGCUAAUACCGCAUGAUGUCAUCGGGGGACAUCCUCUGGUGACCAAAGCUUUAUGUGCUGAAAGAUGGGCUCGCGUCUGAUUAGCUAGAUGGCGGGGUAACGGCUCACCAAGUCGACGAUCGGUAGCCGGACUGAGAGGUUGAACGGCCACAUUGGGACUGAGACACGGCCCAGACUCCUACGGGAGGCAGCAGUGGGGGAUAUUGCACAAUGGGGGAAACCCUGAUGCAGCAACGCCGCGUGAGGGAAGAAGGUUUUCGGAUUGUAAACCUCUGUCCUCUGUGAAGAUAAUGACGGUAGCAGAGGAGGAAGCUCCGGCUAACUACGUG
rnacentral:rRNA from 1 species